CCUGUAAAGUUUCAUGACUCUAGGUCAAAUACUUUUUGAGUUACAUGCGACACAAGUUGAAAAUUACAAAAUUUUACUAAGUCAAGGGCAAUAACUCUAAAAAUACUAAAAAUAUCCAGACGAAAAUACCCAGGUGCACAACUACACAUACUGAUCAACAUUCCUGUAAAGUUUUAUGACUCUAGGUCAAAUACUUUUUGAGUUACAUGCGACACAAGUUGAAAAUUACAAAAUUUUACUAAGUGCAGGGCAAUAACUCUAAAAAUACUAAAAAUAUUCAGACGAAAAUACCCAGGUUCACAACUACACAUACUGAUCAACAUUCCUGUAAAGUUUCAUGACUCUAGGUCAAAUACUUUUUGAGUUACAUGCGACACAAGUUGAAAAUUACAAAAUUUUACUAAGUCAAGGGCAAUAACUCUAAAAAUACUAAAAUAUCCAGACGAAAAUACCCAGGUGCAAAACUACACAUUCUGAUCAACAUUCCCAUAAAGUUUCGUUGAAUUCCAGCCAUUAGUUGCAGAGAACUACUCCGGAAACGAAAUUCGGACAAAAUUUUACUGAGUCAAGGGCAAUAACUCUAAAAAUACUAAAAAUAUCCAGACGAAAAUACCCAGGUGCACAACUUCACAUGCUGAUCAACAUUCCCAUAAAGUUUCGUUGAAUUCCAGCCAUUAGUUGCAGAGAACUACUCCGAAAACGAAAUUCGGACGGACGGAUGGACGGACGGACAGACGGACGGACAGACGGACGGAAGGACGUACGGACAACGCCAAAACUAUAUCCCCCUCCCGAUUCCAUCGGCGGGGGAUAACAAGCAAAUUCGUUGAAUUUAUAUCCCCCGCCGAGUACUGGUUAUUAUUAACACAACAACUGAAGACAUAAGGCUAUGCAACAGACCAGAACCAUUUGAUCAACUUUGGCAGGGGACCACCCUAGGAUCAUUCCUGUAAAGUUUGGUUGCUGUGCAGUCAUUUGUUUCUGAGGAGAUGUUGUUUAAAGAAAUUGCUGACGACGCAUGACGACGGACGGUGGGGGAUCACAAUAGCUCACCUAGAUGUAAAAACAUCUUAAUCUCCAGACUUCAUUAUUCGUAAUUUAGUGAUGUUGAUCAUUAUUCCUGUAAAGUUGGUUGAUUCUAACUCAAGCACUCAAGGAUCAAAUAACAACAUAAUGAAACAGUUUUUACUAAGUCAAGGGAAAUAACUCUACAAAUACUGGAUAAAUCCACAAGCGAAACCCCAGGAACAAACUAAAUAUGCUGAGCAACUUUCCAAUAAGGUUAAAUGACUCUAUGUCAAAUCCUUUUUGAGUUACAUGCGACACAUGUUGAAAAUUGCAAACAUUUUCUAAGUCAAGGGCAAUAACUCUAAAAUUUCUAAAUAAAUCCAGACGAAAAUACCCAGGUGCACAACUACACAUGCUGAUCCAACAUUCCUGUAAAGUAUCAUGACUUUAGGUCAAAUACUUUUUGAGUUACAUGUGACACAAGUUGAAAAUUGCAAAAUUUUACUAAGUCAAGGGCAAUAACUCUAAAAAUAGUAAAAAUAUCCGGACGAAAAUACCCAGGUGCACAACUACACAUACUGAUCAACAUUCCUGUAAAGUUUCAUGACUC